UACCUGCCAGGAACAUACAUGUACUCAGGUUACCUCCGUGUAAUAAUAAAAGUAAUGGUCAGAAUGAUGAUGGCCCCUUACAUUUGUAUCAUCUUUCUUUCAGCUUCUAAAGGACUUUCCCGUUUACUAUCUCACAACUGACAUAGUUAAAGUUGAUGUUAUUUAUAGACUCAUAACUGAGAGCCUCAAAGACCUUGGAGAUUGUAAUCUAGCCAUUUUAUGGCUAGAUGGGGACGAGGAAACCCAAAUUAAGUCCGGCUCCAUUCUUCUUGCCCAUACCUGCUGUCUCCAGCGUUGGCCACAUACAUCUUCCCUAGGAGGUAGACCACAACCAGGGCACAGCAACCACCGACUGCAUGCUGACUCCUCUGCUCUCGUGCCAUGUGCUCAUCCUACCAUCAGGGAACGGCGGGAGAAGUGUGAAGGGGUACCUUCCAUCAGCAUCCACAAUGUCUCCCUCCCCACCCCGAUACUCUUCUUGCCUCUUACCAUGAACUGGAAGGCGUUCUCAAUGGCUCCCAC